rnacentral:rRNA from 1 species
CCUGCCUUCAAGAUGGGACAACAGACGGAAACGACUGCUAAUACCGAAUACGAUCCGAAAGUCGCAUGACAUUUGGAUGAAAAGGGUGGCCUAUCGAAGAAGCUAUCGCUUGAAGAGGGGUUUGCGUCCGAUUAGGUAGUUGGUGAGGUAACGGCCCACCAAGCCGACGAUCGGUAGCCGGUCUGAGAGGAUGAACGGCCACACUGGAACUGAGACACGGUCCAGACUCCUACGGGAGGCAGCAGGU